UUCCCCCCAUGUCCACAUGGGUUAUCGCAAACCUGUCCCUGACGAAAGACCGACUGGCGGUUUGAACCUAAACACUUUAAGAUAGUGUAAGUGAUACAGAGGAAAACAUCUGCGAUGGCCGGGAAUCGAACCCGGGUCAACUGCUUGGAAGGCAGCUAUGCUCACCACUAUACCACCAUCGCUUGCUUAUGUUCAAACAUUGGAAGGGAAAAAAGAGACCUAUCUAAAGAACAGACCAAUUUGGAAUUGCGCAGGGAGACCCCCAAUGGAUUCUAGUCUAUCGCCCUGACCACUCGCCCACGACAACCUUCGAGUUCAGGUUCAGGUUCAUGGCUCCCUGGCAAAACAGCAGUCGUCAUCGAUGGAGGUUUUGAGCCCUCAUGAAGACAAGUUCACUGCAGCCAAAGCGGCUCGUCAAUUGAUUCCCCGGUAAUGGUACAUUUUUUGGACUAAGCCUCCAGCCUAAAUAAGCGAAUGAAAUACCUACUUGGAAUGAAACUAUGCACACAAGGGGGUCAUCACUGGAAAACGGCAAUAAGGAUCACCAGGCUUCGGACACGGGAAAGGCUUUCCCCCAUUGGUAUUCGCAAACCUGUCCCUGACGAAAGACCGACUGGCGGUGUGAACCUAAACACUUUAAGAUAGUGUAAGUGAUACAGAGG
ensembl:lncRNA